rnacentral:rRNA from 1 species
GGGGAAUAUUGCACAAUGGGCGAAAGCCUGAUGCAGCAACGCCGCGUGAGGGAUGACGGCCUUCGGGUUGUAAACCUCUUUUAGUAGGGAAGAAGCGAAAGUGACGGUACCUGCAGAAAAAGCACCGGCUACCUACGUGCCAGCAGCCGCGGUAAUACGUAGGGUGCAAGCGUUGUCCGGAAUUAUUGGGCGUAAAGAGCUCGUAGGCGGCUUGUCGCGUCUGCCGUGAAAACCCAGGGCUCAACCCUGGGCGUGCGGUUGGUACGGGCAGGCUAGAGUGCGGUAGGGGAGAUUGGAAUUCCUGGUGUAGCGGUGGAAUGCGCAGAUAUCAGGAGGAACACCGAUGGCGAAGGCAGAUCUCUGGGCCGCUACUGACGCUGAGGAGCGAAAGCAUGGGGAGCGAAC